AUAACCAAAUCUGUCCGAAACAGAUUUUGCCAGACGCCUGCUGCAGGAGUUGAUGACAAACUGAUGUCAAAAUUAAUACAGAUUCUGCAAUAUCAGAUGAUAUCGGCAGAAUGCCAGCAGCAUUGAGACAAAAUCUGAUAUAGAAGUUUGAUAUCAGAUUGAUGUCAACAUUUGAACAGAUUCCAUUAAACAGCCUGACGGCAGAUUGACGACAGAAAGGAAACAGAUCCUGCUGUGCGCAGUCUGACGGCAGAUUGGCGGCAGAAUUCAAACAAACGCGGUUUAAUACUAUGACGGCAGAUUGGCGGCAAAAACGUAUCAGAUCCUGACGUACACAGUCUGGCGGCAGAUUGACGGCAGAAAUACAGUAGAAUCUGCUGUGCGCAGUCUGGCACCAGAAUGAUGGCAGAAACGUAACAGAUCUUGCUGUUCACAGCCUGACAGCAGACUGACAAAACGAGACAGCCAAUCAGAUUCACAAUGGUGUUUACCGUAAAUGGCGGAACACGAAGGCGACGAUGUUUCUUUUCAUAGCCUCAGGAAGUGACGACACACGGUGACUUCGAGACGAUGUUGGAGUAACUGAUAAAAAGGUUUGUGAACGGUGAAGUGGCAAUUUGCUGCGAUAUCUGUAAUUUGAAAUUAUAUUACAGUUGCAUCUUUCUAACUAGUUAUGUAUAAGACUAGUUAUGUAUAAUAUAUGUUUAAGUAAAUACAUGAAUUAAAAGUUACAUUGUAUUAUUGUCAUAAUUUCCCACAGUAAAUACAAUACACGUAUCGUAUUCAUAGUGGCAUAGCAAAUUGUAGCAUCGAUACAUUGUAACUCUUAAUAAUUGUUGGGAUGAGACGGGAAAAUCAGAGAAAUCUGGAUAAAAAUACUUACCUGUGUGUCUUGCGUUCUUCGGUAAUAGAUUCGUCGAUCCUCCGUAACAUCCGAUC